CCCUUAGAUGUUCUGGGCUGCACACGUGCUACACUGGCAGGUUCAGCGAGCUUCAUGCCCUGAACUGAAAGGAAUGGGAAAUCUUUUCAAAACCUGCCGUGCUUGGGAUAGAUGUUUGCAAUUAUUCAUCUUCAACGAGGAUUGCCUUGUAAGCGCACGUCAUCAGCGUGCAUUGAAUACGACCCUGUAUUCUGUACACACCGCCCGUCGCUCCUACCGAUUGAAGUUUUCGGUGAGUUGACAGGAGGAUUUUUUUGAAACUGGUUCGCCAGUGGAUUUUAGAUCCAAAUGCCAACGAAUCGAUGGCUUUAGAGGAAGGAGAAGUCGUAACA
rnacentral:rRNA from 1 species